GAGGCGUCAGGUGGAUGGUGGGAGGAGGACAAACAGAGACGAUAAGCAUGAGGUUGCAUAGGUGACAAUCGUAGCCUAAAGGAGAUAGAGGCAACGCCGACGGGGGUAAAGCCAUGGACGAGAGGAGUACAUGAGGGGGAUGGAUAAGGUUAGAUGGAGUAUUAACUUAUGUCAGAGAGGAGAAGGUGCAAUAGGUAAGGUAGACUAGGUCUUUUUUAACAUUUCUAUUUCUAUAUAACUUUAAGUUCAUAUUUUCUUGUUUUUAUUUUUAUUUAGUAAGAUAAUAAUAUAUGUUGAUGUAUAGGACAUUAGAGAAUGUCUUGGCGGGUCACCUAUGGAUACUACAUGGUAUUUUUUAGGGUUAUAAUUGGAUACAUACCAUUCAAAGUAUCAUGGUUUAAAAAUAUAAUCAUUACUAUUCAGG
rnacentral:lncRNA from 1 species